GCGUGGUAGCUCAGUUGGUUAGAGCGCAGGAUUCAUAACCCUGAGGUCGGGAGUUCAAAUCUCCCUCACGC
rnacentral:tRNA from 2 species